UCUCAUUCAUUAACCCCCAAUUUAAUACCCUGUACGCUUUCAUCCGACGAGUUCCGGGUUCGAGCCCCGGGCAACCCA
rnacentral:tRNA from 1 species